rnacentral:rRNA from 1 species
UACGUAGGCAGCGAGCGUUGUUCGGAAUUACUGGGCGUAAAGAGUGUGUAGGCGGUGCUCUAAGUUCGGUGUGAAAUCUCCGGGCUUAACCCGGAAAGGUCAACUGAUACUGUGCGACUAGAGUGCGGAAGGGGCAACUGGAAUUCUCGGUGUAGCGGUGAAAUGCGUAGAUAUCGAGAGGAACACCUGCGGCGAAGGCGGGUUGCUGGGCCGACACUGACGCUGAUGCGCGAAAGCCAGGGGAGCGAACGGG